rnacentral:rRNA from 1 species
AUUGAACGCUGGCGGCAGGCCUAACACAUGCAAGUCGAACGGUAACAGGAAGCAGCUUGCUGCUUUGCUGACGAGUGGCGGACGGGUGAGUAAUGUCUGGGAAACUGCCUGAUGGAGGGGGAUAACUACUGGAAACGGUAGCUAAUACCGCAUAACGUCGCAAGACCAAAGAGGGGGACCUUCGGGCCUCUUGCCAUCGGAUGUGCCCAGAUGGGAUUAGCUAGUAGGUGGGGUAACGGCUCACCUAGGCGACGAUCCCUAGCUGGUCUGAGAGGAUGACCAGCCACACUGGAACUGAGACACGGUCCAGACUCCUACGGGAGGCAGCAGUGGGGAAUAUUGCACAAUGGGCGCAAGCCUGAUGCAGCCAUGCCGCGUGUAUGAAGAAGGCCUUCGGGUUGUAAAGUACUUUCAGCGGGGAGGAAGGGAGUAAAGUUAAUACCUUUGCUCAUUGACGUUACCCGGAGAAGAAGCACCGGCUAACUCCGUG